GUGAUGCUCUUCCGCUGGAUACACCCCUGUCAGGCACGUCAAGAGCCCAUGUGGAAUUUUGACCAGGCCAGUCCCCGGACCCUGCAGCAGUUCUUCGGCGUGAAGCAUGAAGACAUGUGGAAGCUGCUCUUCAAGAACCAGAAGUCAUGGCCGGAGACAACCGAAGACCUCGGCUACGACAACACCCACGCUGCGACCACCGGCUGGACAAAGAAAGUGGAAUGGAUUCAUUGUCCGGCUCUGCUGCCUGAAGAUGGAGAUAUUCCUCAGUUGAUGAGGAUGCUAGUCCCGACACCGUUCCAGGCACCGGGAAAGAAGGCCAAGGAGGCCAAGAGUGGCCUUCCCCGUAAAGGCGCCUCCGACGUAGUGUCUGAAGACACUGAAACUCUCUCCUCCCCUGACGAAGAGGAAGAUGAGGAGGAAGAGAGUGAUCCCCUACCCAAGGUGGAGAAGAAGAAGAAGAAGACAGCUUCCGCCGAUCUAGAGGCAGAAGUGUCCAAGAAAGGGAGGGCCUCCCUUACGGAUGACUCCAAGUCAGAUGCUGAUGAGUGGCGCCCCUGGCCGGAUCAUAAGUACUCAAAGGUAUAUAUAUAUAUAUAUAUAUAUAUAUAUAUAUAUAUAUAUAUAUAUGCCCGGCUUUUCAGGCUUAUA
rnacentral:rRNA from 1 species